rnacentral:rRNA from 1 species
UACGUAGGGGGCGAGCGUUGUCCGGAAUCAUUGGGCGUAAAGCGCGUGUAGGCGGCUCGGUAAGUCCGGUGUGAAACCUUGGGGCUCAACCCCAAGCCUGCACUGGAUACUGUCGAGCUCGAGUCCGGGAGGGGAGAGCGGAAUUCCUAGUGUAGCGGUGAAAUGCGCAGAUAUUAGGAAGAACACCGGUGGCGAAGGCGGCUACUCUGGAACGGUACUGACGCUGAGACGCGGAAAGCGUGGGGAGCGAACGAGGA